UUUGGUGGGAUGGAAGGUGUGGGAGCAGCUGCCCAGGGAGGCAGCAGGGUCUGGGUGAAAUCCUUGCUGCCCUCUCCCCUCCAGGGUUUCUGGGGAGUUCAGAGCUCUUCCAUCUCCCUUUGGAAGAGGCUGGGGAGCCCAAUGCCUUCAGCCUGGCCAGGCAAUGCUGUGGGUUGGGCUGAUGGAGCAGGUGCCUGUGGGACUUUGAGAAGAAAAGCUCUGCUCCUGGCUCUUCAUCCUUCUGUCUUUAAGACCAAAAGUGGAAUCUGCUCUCAUGUCCAGGCAGUAUCUCUCACCUCCUGGAUAAGAGAAGCCAGCUGGAAAGAGGCUGGAGCCCCAGGGAGAAGAAGACAAUGUUAUCCUGAGGUUUCUUUCUCACCAUUUCUGCAGCACAUCUCUAAUUAAGCUCUCUGAACACACCCUGUUCCAGACUGGCCUGUGGAAAAUAUUGACCUUUAAAAGGGAGCUGAAAUACCCAAGGGGCUGGACAGGACUGGACAGCAGGCUUGUUCCUGUACCCAAGAGAAUUGUGGGAAUGAUGUGGCAGUGCUGGAGGGCAGAUGGGAAUCCUGCAGUUUGUGUCUCCAAGCCUGUUUGGCUGUGCCCUGGAUGGGGUCUGAGGGACCUGGUGUCUGGCUGCUGAGUCUCCUUCCAUCAUCAUCUGCCUCCCUGAGUGCUGGAUUCCCUGUGAAAAGUUGGCUUUCCCUCAUAAUCCCCAAAUGACAUCCUCAGUUACAAGAGGAAAAUGAAGCUCAGGCAAUUCACAACCCCAUGGAUCCAGCACCAGAGGCUUUUAUGAAUCUUUUUACAACACACUGCCAGGACUCAUUGUCUGGGGAGGAACAUGGGCUGCACCCCAGCCUCAUCCGCCCCUCCAUUCCCUCCUGUGGAAAAAUGACUUUGCCACAGUGAGAAAAAUCAUCAGGAAACGAGUGGGAAUGGCAGAGAACCACCUGUCCCAAUGCCAUGUGUGACCUGGGGCUGGCUGCUCACCAUGGGGAGGUGCAGACAGAUCCCUCAAACCCAGCUCAGGACAGAGCCAGGCACAUCCCUAAA